GACUCGUUAGCUCAGUCGGUAGAGCAACUGACUUUUAAUCAGUGGGUCACAGGUUCGAAUCCUGUACGGGUCAUCA
rnacentral:tRNA from 2 species